GACGAACGCUGGCGGCGUGCUUAAUACAUGCAAGUAGAACGCAGUUGCGAACGGGUGAGUAACGCGUAGGUAACUGCCCCACACCCGGGGAUAACUAUUGGAUACGAUAGCUAAUACCGCAUACUGUGGGAUGGACCUGCGUGGUAUUAGCUAGUUGGUGAGGUAAAGGCUCACCAAGGCGACGAUACAUAGCCGACCUGAGAGGACGAGCGGCUACACUGGGACUGAGGUACCGGCCAUACUGCGAAGAGAGGUAGCAGUAGGGGAUCUUCGGGAAUGGACGGAAGUCGGACCGAGCAACGGCGGGGGAGUGAAGAGGGUUAUCGGAUCGUAAAGCUUUGUAGUUAGAGAAGGGGUAACUAACCAAAAAGGGACGGCUAACUACGUGCCAGCAGCCGCGGUAAUUC
rnacentral:rRNA from 1 species